UUUAAUGUUGAUGAAAACUGGUGCUAUCCUAUAGCAUGUCAGGAUCAAUCUAUACUGAUGGUGUGAUAUAUGAAUUUAAUUGGUUUAAAAAUACCAUCUUGAAUGUUGCAUGUGUUUAGUUAUAACUCGUCUCUCAAAAUCAUUCUUCAUCCUUCACCACUCCGUCGGCAAGGAGACAAACCAUGCGAGUUGAAGAUGCCCGAAUUGAGGUGAAUGCAUGUGAUUGUUCUAAUCUAUGUGCAGGAAGCUGUCUCUCAUCACCUAUAAGGAUGCAAUGGCUAAGACCUGGAAGCUGCAAAGGAAUUGUUGAUUCACAUUCUUUAAGCUGAGCUGCUUCAUCAAUAACUAAAAACUGCACUGGUCUCAUCUCUUCUGUGUAGAAUUUAAUAGAACUUGAUGCAGUGCACAGAAUUAGAGUAGCAUUCGACAAACAGAAUUUUUCUACUUGAUCUUUCACUUUAAAUUCAGGAAGUUUAAUUGAGUUAGAAAGCAAACUUAGUAUGCAAAUGCACUCAUUUCUUUCCCGGCUUGAUGGUCCAAAGCAAGCAGGAAUGUUUUCUUCAAAGUCAUUGACAGUUUGCUUAAACUUGGCUUGACUCAAGGAAAUUUCUAGUGACUUUAACAAGUCAAGAGCUUGGAGCAUACUAGUAUUGUUCACUGAAAUGAAAGAUUUCGGCAUGUGAGUGCAUAAGCACAAUGUCACCCAAACCAUAUGAAUCAUGCCUCAGUGAAUCCACGACUAUGCUAUGCAACCUUGUUGCCACUUGCAACACUGCAGUAUUAGUUGGAGCACAAGUCAAUGUUCUGGUUUUUAACUUGAGUAGAGAAAAUAACAAGCAUGCAACUGUCUUUGUUUUUCCUGUCCCUGGAGGCCCCCAUAUAAGCUUUGUAUUUGCAUGUGAACAAUUUACCAUACUAACACAGCUUGAAACAGCAUCUUCUUGUGAUGCAUUCAGAUUCUGAGAAUAAAUUAUGUCUUCUGUAAUAAAAGAAGCUUGAUUGUUUGAUCUUGACAUGCAAAUUUUGCAAUUCUCUCCGCUCUGAAAUACAAACCAUUUUAUAAGUUACAUCAAAUAUUUAGCUUCACAAAAGAGGAAAAUAAAUAAUACAAUAGUAUCCAUAGUCCAAUACUGCAUAAUCAUUAAAAAAAAGUGAAACUUUUAAAGAACUGAUUUUGUGGGUGUGCUUUUCAUAAAACAAUUC